rnacentral:rRNA from 1 species
GACGAACGCUGUCGGCGUGCUUAACACAUGCAAGUCGAACGGAAAGGCCCUGCUUUUGUGGGGUGCUCGAGUUGCUAACGGGUGAGUAACACGUGAGUAACCUGCCCUUGACUUUGGGAUAACUUCAGGAAACUGGGGCUAAUACCGGAUAGGAGCUCCUGCUGCAUGGUGGGGGUUGGAAAGUUUCGGUGGUUGGGGAUUGGCUCGCGGCUUAUCAGCUUGUUGGUGGGGUAGUGGCUUACCAAGGCUUUGACGGGUAGCCGGACUGAGGGGGUGACCGGAACGAUUGGAACGGAGAUACGGCCCAGACCACAAUGGGACGGGGGGGGGGGGUGGAUGACAUUAUGGGAGGAAGCGAAAUGCGGUAACGCCGGGUGGGGGAAGAGGGGAAUGGAGUUGUAAACCGAUUCUCUGUGUGACGAGGAGAGAGUGACGGUAAUGGGUAAGAAAGCACCGGCUAAAUACGUG